UGCGCUGGCGGCAGCUUAACCUGCAGUUUAGCGGGGAAGGUAGCUUGCCCCUAACCUAACGGCGGACGGGUGAGUAUGCUUAGGAAUCUGCCUAUUAGUGGGGGACAACGUUUCGAAAGGAACGCUAAUACCGCAUACGUCCUACGGGAGAAAGCAGGGGAUCAUUUGACCUUGUGCUAAUAGAUGAGCCUAAGUCGCGAUUAGCUAAGUUGGUGGGGUAAAAGGCCUACCAAGGCGACGAUCUGUAGCGGGUCUGAGAGGAUGAUCCGCACACUGGGACUGAGACACGGCCAGACUCCUACGGGAGUGCAGCAGUGGGGAAUAUUGGACAAUGGGCGCAAGCCUGAUCCAGCCAUGCCGCGUGUGUGAAGAAGGCCUUAUGGUUGUAAAGCACUUUAAGCGAGGAGGAGGAGCUUCAGGUUAAUACCCUGGAUGCUUGGACGUUACUCGCAGAAUAAGCACCGGCUAACUCUGUGCCAGCAGCCGCGGUAAUACAGAGGGUGCAAGCGUUAAUCGGAUUUACUGGGCGUAAAGCGUGCGUAGGCGGCUAAUUAAGUCAAACUGUGAAAUCCCCGAGCUUAACUUUGGGAAUUGCAUUCGAUACUGGUUAGCUAGAGUAUGGGAGAGGAUGGUAGAAUUCCAGGUGUAGCGGUGAAAUGCGUAGAGAUCUUGGGAGGGAAUCACCCCGAUGGGCGGAAAAUGCCAGGCCCAUUCCUUGGGGCCUUAAAUUUACUUGGACGCCCUGAAGGUAACGAAAAAGCCAUUCGGGGGAGCACAACCAGGAUUUUAGAAUCCCCUUGGAUGUCCAUUGCCGAAACCGAUUUUUCACUCAGCCGUUGGGGGCUUUGGAGACCCUUAUGGGGCCCAGUCACGCAAAAUAAACCGCGGGGCAU
rnacentral:rRNA from 1 species